rnacentral:lncRNA from 9 species
CUUGACUCCAGCCCAAGCUCUUUCUCUCUUUUCUCUAAGGCGGGAACCUAGGGCACUGGCUCUACACAUGUGGCGGUCCUGCCUAAGUCACUUUUGGAAGCAUCUGUUCCGGACUGGUCUUUCUGGCCCCCAGACCUUGACUUUCUGGAUCUUUGGGACCCUGCCCGGCAGGAUGGACUUUAUGUGUCUGGGGCAGUGGGAGGGCAGAAACCCAGAGUCAGCAGUGAUUGCUUUUUUAAGUAACCUGGAUGAAAAUCCUGAGAGGACCAGCUUUUGAUCCUGCAGAACAGGCCUGGGUUCUGCAAACAGCCUGACCCCCGAGGGGCUCCUAAGUCUCCACCAGGACUUCUGCCCAGCAGUUCCAGACCAUCAUCUACAGCUGACCAGCUCUCUUGUCUCUGAAAGCCCAGGGCUGCCUCUGGGGGAGCAGGCUUUAGGCAUUUCUUUUUUCUUUCUUUUUUUUUAGGUCCGCACCUGCAGCAUAUGGAAGGCCUACCACAGCCACAGCAACUCCAGAUCUGAGCCUUGUCUGUGACCUACGUUGCAACUCGAAGCAAUGCUGGAUCCUUAACCCACUGAGCAGGGCCAAGGAUCGAACCCAACCUCAGAGCCUGGCUGUCAGUUUGACCUGUUGGAUGGAGGAAUGCCUGACCGAAUGACGGAAUGAACUUGUGGUCACAAAGGUUAAAUGAGAUACCAUGAAAUCUCCAGGAACAGAAUCUAUUCCUCGGGGAAGGAACGUGAGGACGGUUGAUUGGCAUGAAAUCAUUAUAGUGGGACCAUCAGCAGAAGCGAGGCACAGGCAAAACUGGUAACUCCAGGAAACACUCGAUUUUCCGUCGGCUGUCCAUCCUUCCUCGGCUCUUCUGGUUUUUGCUGCAACGUGGACAUCCUGAAGCGUGUUCUGCCUCUUUUAGGACUGCAAAAAAAAAAAAAGGAGAAAAAAAUGAAAUAAGAAGGUGAUGGGCAUCUCUAGUCAAGGCCUAUAAAACCCCUCUGUUCUCCGGAGUCCACGGGAAAAGUGUCACAACCUGUAGACUUGUUCCUGUCCCCAUCCCAGAGACAGUCGCUUGUUGGUUUUAACUGGAAAAAUAAACAUUUGAAAA